CAGCAGCCGCGGGAAUACGUAGGUGGCAAGCGUUGUCCGGAAUUAUUGGGCGUAAAGGGCUCGCAGGCGGUUUCUUAAGUCUGAUGUGAAAGCCCCCGGCUCAACCGGGGAGGGUCAUUGGAAACUGGGAAACUUGAGUGCAGAAGAGGAGAGUGGAAUUCCACGUGUAGCGGUGAAACGCGUAGAGAUGUGGAGGAACACCAGUGGCGAAGGCGACUCUCUGGUCUGUAACUGACGCUGAGGAGCGAAAGCGUGGGGAGCGAACAGGAUUAGAUACCCCCGUAGUCCCUGUCUCUUAUAC
rnacentral:rRNA from 1 species